rnacentral:rRNA from 1 species
AGUGAACGCUGGCGGUAGGCCUAACACAUGCAAGUCGAACGGCAGCACAGUAAGAGCUUGCUCUUACGGGUGGCGAGUGGCGGACGGGUGAGGAAUACAUCGGAAUCUACUUUUUCGUGGGGGAUAACGUAGGGAAACUUACGCUAAUACCGCAUACGACCUACGGGUGAAAGCAGGGGAUCUUCGGACCUUGCGCGAUUGAAUGAGCCGAUGUCGGAUUAGCUAGUUGGCGGGGUAAAGGCCCACCAAGGCGACGAUCCGUAGCUGGUCUGAGAGGAUGAUCAGCCACACAGGAACUGAGACACGGUCCAGACUCCUACGGGAGGCAGCAGUGGGGAAUAUUUGGCAAUGGGCGCAAGCCUGAUCCAGCCAUACCGCGUGGGUGAAGAAGGCCUUCGGGGUUUAAAGCCCUUUUUUUGGGAAAGAAAAGCAGCAGGUUAAUACCCCGCUGUUCUGACGGUACCCAAAGAAUAAGCACCGGCUAACUUCGUG